GGGGCAUGACCUGCACAAAAUCCUAACCGGAGAUGGCUCCGACGAGGAUCUUCUGACACUCUGGUCAGAACUCUCGUUCAAUAGGAGUGUGAGAGGCAGAAUAAUGACAUACAUUUUUUCGGAGGUCCUCUUUAAGUCUCUUUUAUAACGGAGAGUUAGAGUUUCAGUUGGCAAGUGGUUUGCAUGAUCCCGCAUGAUCAGGGCAUAAUUCGUGGGGCA
rnacentral:lncRNA from 1 species